UUUAAUACAUCUAUCUACAAUUAAGGUAAGUUAUAUAUUUUGUAAUGAUGAUUUUGUUUUAGCCAUAGACCUUAAAUCUAGCACCUUGAUUUAACAAUAAUUAGUAACCCAUAGACUUGUAGUCUAUGUCUAGGUCUGUAUAUAAACGCUCUAGCGUUUCUAGUUCAUUUUUAUUAUAUUAUAAGGGCUAAGACUUUUUGUGUAGGCCUUAUUUAAUCUAUGUCUUCUCUUUUAAAUUAAGCCUAAUAGGUCCUAAUUUUUGAGUCCAAAACUGUAAACCUUAACAUUAUUUGCCUACUCCAUUGUGACAAAUCAUGUUAAUAUAUCCUAGCUUUUUUCUUUGCUUUUAUAAGUUACUGUUUCUUAAUGUAGCCUAUUUAAUUCCUAGCAGAAGGUAGAAUGCUCGCAGACGGCUUUAAAUCCCGCUCUUAUUUUAAGUUACCGGUAUCACAUUUAGCUUGUAACAAAACAAACUAACAUUGUACAUAAUUCUAAUUUUCUUUUUUUGAUUUUUUUUUUUCAGAUGUCAGGACGAAAGAAGGCUC